rnacentral:ncRNA from 4 species
UUUGGUAAGCAGAACUGGCGAUGC